UGAAGUUUGUGCAGCUGUCACAAGAUUGAUUGCCAGAGUUGAUUUGGCUAAUCCGGCUGGUUAAGCAUGCGUUCCCUUCUUCUCU
rnacentral:sRNA from 1 species